rnacentral:tRNA from 1 species
GUGGAUAUAGUUUAACCAAAACAUUAGAUUGUGAUUCUAAAGACAGGAGUUAAAACCCCCUUACUCACC